rnacentral:rRNA from 1 species
GCCAGCAGCCAUAUCACCCUGCAACUCAUCCCAUUGAAGCUAAGCAGGUGGGAGCCUGGUCAGUACCUGGAUGGAAGACCUUCUGGGAAACACUGAGGUUGUUGCUGGAA